rnacentral:misc_RNA from 1 species
GAUGAAGAACGUAGCGAAAUGCGAUAAGUAAUGUGAAUUGCAGAAUUCAGUGAAUCAUCGAAUCUUUGAACGCACAUUGCGCCCUGUGGUAUUCCGCAGGGCAUGCCUGUUCGAGCGUCAUUUCAACCCUCAAGCUCUGCUUGGUGUUGGGCCCUGCCCGCUCGCGGCCGGCCCUAAAGACAGUGGCGGUGCCGUCUGGCUCUAAGCGUAGUACAUCUCUCGCUCUGGUGCCCGGCGGUGUCCUGCCAGAACCCCCCAACUCUGUGGUUGACCUCGGAUCAGGUAGGGAUACCCGCUGAACUUAAGCAUAUCAAUAAGCGGAGGA